rnacentral:misc_RNA from 1 species
GGAAGGAUCAUUAUUGAUUGUGAAUCGUUGCCUUCAGUGCUGGCCCCGGCAAGUGCACGUUGGUGACUUUCAUCCAAUACCCAUGUGAACUUCUGGCCUCUUGCUAGCUUCGGCUGGCAGAGGAUUUUUACACACACUCGAAUGUAAUGAAACCUAUUGUUGUGCGCAAGCACUAAUGUACAACUUUCAACAACGGAUCUCUUGGCUCUCGCAUCGAUGAAGAACGCAGCGAAAUGCGAUAAGUAAUGUGAAUUGCAGAAUUCAGUGAAUCAUCGAAUCUUUGAACGCACCUUGCACCCUUUGGCAUUCCGAAGGGUAUGCUCGUUUGAGUGUCAUUGUACUCUCACACUCUCCAAUCCUCUGGAUCCGGGGAGUGGUGGACUUGGGCGUCUGCUGCUUGACCGUGGCUCGCUUUAAAUGGAUUAGUGCAACUCUUGGUUGGACAUAGUACGGCGUGAUAAGUGUCUUCGCCGGCACCUCGGAAGAGGGUGACUGAUUGAGAGCUCUGUGCUUCAAACUGUCUUCGGACAACCUCUGACAACUUGACCUCAAAUCGAGUAGGACUACCCGCUGAACUUAAGCAUAUCAAUAAGCGGAGGAAAAGAAACUAACAAGGAUUCCCCUAGUAACGGCGAGUGAA